GUCUAUGGACAUACCACCUUGAACAUGCCCAAUCUCGUCUGAUCUCAGAAGCUAAGCAGGGCUGGACCUGGUUAGUACUUGGAUGAGAAAUCAGAGAAGCAGCUUAAUGUCAUUGGGG
rnacentral:rRNA from 1 species